UUAAAACAAUCACAUUCCCUCUCUCUCUCUCUUAUUCACGGCUGCACACACACAACACACACCAAAUUUCGAAAUUUCAACCAAGUUCUUGAAUGUUCAUACUCAUUACAAGGUGUUUAUGAGUCCAAAUGGUGAUCUAGAAGUGAUUUCAAGGUGUUUCAAGCCACAAUCAAGUCCAAUAUCACCAAAUGUUACUAAAAAUCAUUUAAUAACUUAAAGGUACUUGAGCUCGGCUUCGGGAAUUAUGGCGUAUCUUGUGUUUGUAGAUGCAUGUUUUGUCACUUAAACUGUUGGACUGACUUUUAAACUUUCUGGGACUAAUGUAAUAAGAUCCAUAAGGAUCAAAACAAUUUAACUAUAAUGUGAUUGUAACGGACAUUAAGACUUCAUGUUUUAAAA